rnacentral:rRNA from 1 species
GAUGAACGCUAGCGGGAGGCCUAACACAUGCAAGCCGAGCGGUAUUUGUUCUUCGGAACAGAGAGAGCGGCGCACGGGUGCGGAACACGUGUGCAACCUGCCUUUAUCUGGGGGAUAGCCUUUCGAAAGGAAGAUUAAUACCCCAUAAUAUAUUGAGUGGCAUCAUUUGAUAUUGAAAACUCCGGUGGAUAGAGAUGGGCACGCGCAAGAUUAGAUAGUUGGUGAGGUAACGGCUCACCAAGUCAAUGAUCUUUAGGGGGCCUGAGAGGGUGAUCCCCCACACUGGUACUGAGACACGGACCAGACUCCUACGGGAGGCAGCAGUGAGGAAUAUUAGACAAUGGGUUAGCGCCUGAUCCAGCCAUCCCGCGUGAAGGACGACGGCCCUAUGGGUUGUAAACUUCUUUUGUAUAGGGAUAAACCUACUCUCGUGAGAGUAGCUGAAGGUACUAUACGAAUAAGCACCGGCUAACUCCGU